rnacentral:rRNA from 1 species
GACGAACGCUGGCGGCGUGCUUAACACAUGCAAGUCGAACGGAAAGGCCCUGCUUUUGUGGGGUUCUCGAGUGGCGAACGGGUGAGUAACACGUGAGUAACCUGCCCUUGACUUUGGGAUAACUUCAGGGAACUGGGGCUAAUACCGGAUAGGAUCUCCUGCUGCAUGGUGGGGGUUGGAAAGUUUCGGCGGUUGGGGAUGGACUCGCGGCUUAUCCGCUUGUUGGUGGGGUAGUGGCUUACCAAGGUUUUGACGGGUAGCCGGCCUGAGAGGGUUACCGGCCACAUUGGGACUGAGAUACGGCCCAGACGCCUACGGGAGGCAGCAGUGGGGAACAUUGCACAAUGGGCGGAAGCCUGAUGCAGCAACGCCGCGUGCGGGAUGACGGCCUUCGGGUUGUAAACCGAUUUCGCCUGUGACGAAGCGUGAGUGACGGUAAUGGGUAAAGAAGCACCGGCUAACUACGUG